GACCCAUCUAAUGCUCUGAAGAAGAUGUUACAAAUAGUGGAGGCUCCCAAAUCUUUAUCUAGUUUACGACCGGAGACAAGAUCUUUGACAAGCUCAGGUCAGACACCAAAUGCAUUUGCCACCUUACCUACAAAUGUAAACGCUCCUCCUCCAUUACUGUCCAAUACACAACCAAACUUCAUGUCUAGUCCGGACAACUCUUUCCCCAGAAUCUAAAUCCUUUCAACCUACCCUAUCCGGGCCAUGUAUUUGGUAGUAAUGGAAAUGCAUCUGGUGUACUUCAAAUGCCUCCAAGAUUUCCAUCAUCUCUCCCUCCACCUCCGAUAGUAGCUCCAACUCAUGGAAAAUGCGCUCCUCCGGUUGUACCCAAUUAUCCUAUGAAUUCAGUUCAGGAAAAUAAAACCAAUGAUCUCUCACCCCUCUGCAAUCCAUUUGUGCCCCUACAAGUCACGCGGAAUCAAGUGACACACUCACCAAGAGGCUCUGCAUCUGCCCAAACUUCAGAAUUCUUUCUGGACAGAAGUUGAAGUCAUCCAACGGCUCCAUUCCUCCUCUAAAUUCAAAUUCCAGUACAACCAUAACACCUGCUACGGCAAAGCCAAGGAAAAGCAGAAUAGCAGCGAAGUUCAUGGCACCUCCUGAUCCUAAAGCAUAAGGUAAUGGCUUAAAGUCUCUUUUUAUUUCUCAACUUGUUCAAGAGGUCUUUGAUGCAUCUCAAAUCCGUAUUUUCAGCUCAUCAAUGUUGAUGAGGUGGAUAUUUUUCACGUUUGUGGAGGAGUAAAAGUUGAAAGUGUGAUGGUGUAACCUCAAGUUAAUUUUUGCCAAAUGUUUUUUCCCAUUCUUGAAUUUUUAAUAAGUCUCGGCAGUUAUAAGUCUUUCCAAGCUUCUACAUAGCCGUUUUAUUAUGAAUCUUAUUCCUUUUAUACCUUAAUUGAACGGUGCUCUCUUACACUUAACAUGCAGAAUUAUCACCAAAGACAAUUGCCAAAAAUCGGGGUAAUCAGAAAAUCACUUAUUUUGAGGCUUGCUAUACAUUUCUGUAAAGAUAUGUAUUGACUUAAGAUAAAGAACUUUUUUAAUUGUAUUUUUUAAGCUGAUCAAAAGUUGUCCUCGUAUUUUUGAAAUCUCCGAAUGUGGGCCUUUAGAAUCUACAAUGUAAUAUAUCUAAUUUUUUUUAUUCUUUACUUCUUUUUCAGGGUAUGUCAGCAGUUUUGAAUUAUGCAGUAAUCAUCUGUCAAUUUACUGUGAUUCUAAUUUUGAAUUUUGUUUAAAAAAGUUUAGUUGUAGGUUAUUGUUGGAAAGUAUUUUUCACGAUCUAACUUCUUUAUUAUAUAGCUUACCGUUCAUACGCAGGAGCUUUGAGUUUAUCAAAUGCUCUGUUAGGUUUCCUGAUGGCUACUGUUUCUGCAAAACCAUUGAAGGAAAUCUAGUAAUGCAUAAUACUACUAAAUGUAUACAAAAAAAUUGUAUGAGUGUUGCUAUGACUCAACCUUUUUUCU
rnacentral:lncRNA from 1 species